UUGAAGGUGUAAAGAAGAAAGAAAGGUAAGAGGGUGAAUUCUAUAAAUAUUGCAUGGUAGAGAAGAGAUGUGUAGAUAAGAGUGAAAUGGUCAUUUUGUUGUGUAACCCAAAGCCAAGGAAAGGCUCUCACUCAGAGCUAAGUAGGGUCUCCUUCUUUUAUUGCCUUCUUUGUCCUUUUUCACCUCUUACCCCUUUUUAUCCCUUCUCAUUCUUCUCCAUCACCACCACCUCCUUCUCCUUCUCCUUCUGCAAAAUCACUUUGGUUUAAUUUUGGCUCGGAGCUGUUCAUCUUUUGAGGGGAAUGUUGUCUGGCUCGAGGUCACUAAUAUUAGAUCUAUGAGUUUUUCUUAUCUUUUGCUUUUAAGAUGGAUCAAAAUGAUCGUGUUCUUAGUGACGUCGGACCAGGCUUCAUUCCCCCCAAUUGUUAGCUUCCCUAUGAUCAGCCAACUGGUCAUUAACUAGUUAUAUCUUAUGAUUAUCUUCAUUUCUUGAUCCUAAGAAAGACAUGGGGUUUUUGGUCUUUGCAAAAAUUGAGGUCGUUGUGCAUGAGCAGAUUGGUGUAAUGAUGAAAGAUUUUGACUUUUUUUUAAGUUUUUCUGACUGAAGGAGAGAAAAGAAAAUCAUCAUUACACUUUUAUUUUUUUUAUCCCUAAAUUUCAUGGAUCAGGGGGGAUUUGUUUUUCUUUCUCUGUCAGUCUAUCUAACUCUUUCAGAUUCAUCAUUGGACUAGUUCUUAUUUAUUCAUGAAUCAUCAUGCCUUCAAGAAUCUUCUCUGUCCGUUUCUGCAACUUCUUAAUCUACACUCUAAUUACCUUCUUUUUUCUUUUCUUUAAUGUUCAUCAAGAGUCCUACCACCAACCAACUAUCUCUAGGGUUUAUCAAGAUUCAACAUACAGUUAUCACCAAUUAAAAAGCUAGCACAUUCUUUCUCUUUUAGAAACGAUGGAUUCGCAUUUUACUUUAGCUGAAAAUAAAUGUUUGUUUAUUCACUUGUUUCCUUUUGAACUUAACCAAAUUUUGUUUGUGUUCAUCUUUCUGUGCUACUUUUGAUUUGUUAUGAGUGGUAGUGGAGCUGCAUAAUCUUCUCUUUACAUGUUUUUUGUUUUCUUGCUGCUUUUUUCUUUUAAAAUUUUACCACUUUUAUGCUAAAGUUUGCAUCGUUACUCUUUAGUCAACUCAUUUUUGUGUCUUUGCACGGCUUCAAGUGAUCAUCAUGUGCUCAUCAUUCAACACAGUUUUUUGGAGCUAUACUAAAAACCAAAUUAAUAUGUUUUAAUUAUUUAGUUUAGGGCUCUAAAUUUAUGUUCAUAUUUUCUAUGCUCAAGCUAAUGACUUGUGUUGCCUUACUGAGUUAGCUUGUGUUCACUGAUUUGACUGAUACCAAGAUUGGCUUUUGUGAAGGGUAUUGUGUGCUUCGGUCUAGUUUUCACCGCUUGAAAAAAGGUAAACUAAUUAAAGAGUUAGAAAUCUUUCAAAAGUUCAUCAGUAUUUUAUAGUAGGAAAUUAAGUUAACCAAUUCUUUGAAAUAUUUUGAUUCUCUAAAUGCACAAAAAUAAAGAACGCUUGUAACCCACUCGACUGAUGGCUUUUACAAACCUUUCUUGGACUACUUAUCAUGUGAAAGGAAAGUUUGAAAAUGUGCAUUUCGUUAUGAAAUCGUUGUUUGAUUAUGAGAACUUAAGGUAGAGAAUGGGAACGAAAAAAAAGCUGGGUUUGGUUUAUCAGAUGAAGCUGUUGCUUUCUUUAGCCAGGAAGCAGUAUUUUCUCGACUUCAACGAAGGAACAUAGAGAAUACGGGUUCAAUUUUCAUACAGUUAGUGAAUAAAUAAGCCUUUCGAUAAUCAAACUUUCAUUUUUAUAUUAAGAGAACAUGUGUGUAACCUCCGUUGAUGUAUGUAAUAAUAAAAGCUCAAUUAUCCAGAUCUAACAAAUAAAACAAUGAUAAUCAUUCGGUAAAUAGUUAGUAACCACCGACAGAAUACAGAAAGGAAAAGAAGUUUUGAUUGAAAAGGUGAAUGAGAAAGAGAGGAGAAAGGUGAUGAAAGUUGAUGGAGAAGAAAGGGCUUAAUCCAUCAGUGUGAUGUAUUGCCUUUGCCUGAACCAAAUGAAACACUGAAUGCCUUUAAUGCUCUCACUCUCUCUUCCUUUCUUAUUUAUUUACUAUUUCGCAGUUUAGUCAGCAUCACCAUCGUCGUACGCCAGGGAUUCCUCUCCCGUUUCCUUUGGCUACGUUACAUUAAUGCUCAGACUAUGCUUAUGUAAUUACAAGCACUCUAUUCAUGUAUGUGUAUUUGAAGCACUAGCAAUAUUACAAUUCUACAGUACACUAUUGUGUCAGCUUAAGUGGUGGAACCCCAUCACCUUUACCACUCCAGCAUCUAACACUAUUCUUUUCACUUGGAAUAACCCUAAACCCUAACUUUCUCAAUUCUCAGUACAAUUUCUUUACUAUUGUCAUCCAUUUUCAGCAAAAACAACUUCCUCAGACGUAUUCCUUGAUUCAAGCAACUCAAGGUUCCUCUGUCUACUCAAGGCUUAGCAUACACGCAUCAACCAGAGGCCAAGAAUGAGAGAUAAAAAAAAUUCAUACAAAUACAAUACAACUUUCGAGCUCUGCAACUUCAGUUUCUUGAAUGAUCGACCAAUUUUUUUUUUUUUCUCAAAAAAAAAAACUUGAAUUAUUGACCUAAUCUAUGAGUGUAUGCAUGUAUGUAUAAUUAGCUAGAAAAACCUACUAAUACAACUGUAAUGAAGGUGCAGGAUUAAUUUUGGGGCUUGAUAUACAGGCAAUGCAAACAGUGUUGUUGAUUAUGAAAUUUAAUCAGGAAUCAGGUCAUUAUCAUAGGUUUAAUGCUUAUGCAUUAGAAAUGUUGUCAUCUAUGUGGUGCAAUACAAAUAUAAUAGCAAAAGCAUCUUAAACUCUAUAAAUGUAUAGACGAAGAUUGGCAUAGUAUAAAUUGUAUUAAUUAACCAUAUAUGGUCCAUAAAUAUGCUUACACA